AAUAGAUACCCGGUAGUCCAUGCCGUAAACGAUGUCUACUAGCCGUUGGGGCCUUUGAGGCUUUAGUGGCGCAGCUAACGCGAUAAGUAGACCGCCUGGGGAGUACGGUCGCAAGACUAAAACUCAAAUGAAUUGACGGGGGCCCGCACAAGCGGUGGAGCAUGUGGUUUAAUUCGAUGCAACGCGAAGAACCUUACCUGGUCUUGACAUACAGAGAACUUUCCAGAGAUGGAUUGGUGCCUUCGGGAACUCUGAUACAGGUGCUGCAUGGCUGUCGUCAGCUCGUGUCGUGAGAUGUUGGGUUAAGUCCCGCAACGAGCGCAACCCUUUUCCUUACUUGCCAUCGGGUCAUGCCGGGAACUUUAAGGAUACUGCCAGUGACAAACUGGAGGAAGGCGGGGGCGACGUCAAGUCAUCAUGGCCCUUACGACCAGGGCUACACACGUGCUACAAUGGUCGGUACAAAGGGUUGCUACCUAGCGAUAGGAUGCUAAUCUCAAAAAGCCGAUCGUAGUCCGGAUUGGAGU
rnacentral:rRNA from 1 species